GACGAACGCUGGCGGCGUGCCUAACACAUGCAAGUCGAACGAUCCUUCGGGAUAGUGGCGGACGGGUGAGUAACACGUGGGAACGUGCCUUUAGGUUCGGAACAACACAGGGAAACUUGUGCUAAUACCGGAUAAGCCCUUCGGGGAAGAUUAUCGCCUUAGAGCGGCCCGCGUCUGAUUAGCUUGUUGGUGAGGUAAAGGACUCACCAAGGCUACGAUCAGUAGCUGGUCUGAGAGGAUGGCCAGCCACAUUGGGACUGAGACACGGCCCAAACUCCUACGGGAGGCAGCAGGUGGGGAAUCUUGCGCAAUGGGCGAAAGCCUGACGCAGCCAUGCCGCGUGGAUGAUGAAGGUCUUAGGAUUGUAAAAUCCUUUCAGC
rnacentral:rRNA from 1 species